UGGGGGAGGCGACCUAAUUCCCAGAGGAAGGAAUUGGGCCAAAUCCACUCGGGCUAGGGCGGGCCGUACUGGCUCCCCCGAGGGACAAAUCCUGCCUGGAACCCGUGAGGGUGAAGGGAUGUUAAGAGCUGCUCACAGUGGCCGCCCCCAGGAGGUGUAACGGGCUGUGAGCGGUAACAGGGCUGGUCGUACGGGGCCGGGCUGUUACA
rnacentral:lncRNA from 1 species